rnacentral:rRNA from 1 species
AACGAACGCUGGCGGCAGGCCUAACACAUGCAAGUCGAGCGAGGACUUCGGUCCUAGCGGCGGACGGGUGAGUAACGCGUGGGAACGUGCCCUUUGCUUCGGAAUAGCCCUGGGAAACUGGGAGUAAUACCGGAUGAGCCCUUUGGGGGAAAGAUUUAUCGGCGAAGGAUCGGCCCGCGUUGGAUUAGGUAGUUGGUGGGGUAAUGGCCUACCAAGCCGACGAUCCAUAGCUGGUUUGAGAGGAUGAUCAGCCACACUGGGACAGAGACACGGCCCAGACUCCUACGGGAGGCAGCAGUGGGGAAUCUUAGACAAUGGGGGAAACCCUGAUCUAGCCAUGCCGCGUGAGCGAUGAAGGCCUUAGGGUUGUAAAGCUCUUUCAGCUGGGAAGAUAAUGACGGUACCAGCAGAAGAAGCCCCGGCUAACUCCGUG